GAUGAACGCUAGCUACAGGCUUAACACAUGCAAGUCGAGGGGAAACGGCAUUAAGUGCUUGCACUUUUUUGACGUCGACCGGCGCACGGGUGAGUAACGCGUAUCCAACCUUCCCAUGACUAAGGGAUAACCUGCCGAAAGGCAGACUAAUACCUUAUGGUCUUCACUGACGGCAUCAGAUGUGAAGUAAAGAUUUAUCGGUCAUGGAUGGGGAUGCGUCUGAUUAGCUUGUUGGCGGGGUAACGGCCCACCAAGGCAACGAUCAGUAGGGGUUCUGAGAGGAAGGUCCCCCACAUUGGAACUGAGACACGGUCCAAACUCCUACGGGAGGCAGCAGUGAGGAAUAUUGGUCAAUGGGCGAGAGCCUGAACCAGCCAAGUAGCGUGCAGGAUGACGGCCCUAUGGGUUGUAAACUGCUUUUGUAUGGGGAUAAAGUCAGUCACGUGUGAUUGUUUGCAGGUACCAUACGAAUAAGGACCGGCUAAUUCCGUGCCAGCAGCCGCGGUAAUACGGAAGGUCCGGGCGUUAUCCGGAUUUAUUGGGUUUAAAGGGAGCGUAGGCUGGAGAUUAAGUGUGUUGUGAAAUGUAGACGCUCAACGUCUGACUUGCAGCGCAUACUGGUUUCCUUGAGUACGCACAACGUUGGCGGAAUUCGUCGUGUAGCGGUGAAAUGCUUAGAUAUGACGAAGAACUCCGAUUGCGAAGGCAGCUGACGGGAGCGCAACUGACGCUGAAGCUCGAAGGUGCGGGUAUCGAACAGG
rnacentral:rRNA from 1 species